CAUUAUCCGAGUAAUAUACCUUUUAUAAAUUUAUUAAAAUUAUUUUUCUAAUAAUUAAAAUAUUUACUUAUUAUUAUUACUAUAAUGCCACUCUAUUAUACGGCGCACGAGUUUUUUUUUUUUUUUUUNAAAAAAAAAAAAAAAAAAAAAAAAAAAAAAAAAAAAAAAAAAAAAAAAAAAAAAAAAAAAAAAAAAAAAAAAAAAAAAAAAAAAAAAAAAAAAAAA
rnacentral:lncRNA from 1 species